rnacentral:rRNA from 1 species
AUUGAACGCUGGCGGCAGGCCUAACACAUGCAAGUCGAACGAGUGGCAGACGGGUGAGUAAUUUCUGGGAAACUGCCUGCUGGAGGGGGAUAACUACUGGAAACGGUAGCUAAUACCGCAUACCAUCAGAUGUGCCCAGCUGGGCUUAGCUUGUUGGUGGGGGAACGGCUCACCAAGGCGACGAUCCCUAGCUGGUCUGAGAGGAUGACCAGCCACAAUGGAACGGAGACACGGUCCAGAUUCCGACGGGAGGCAGCAGUGGGGAAUAUGGCACAAGGGGCGCAAGCCUGAUGCAGCCAUGCCGAGUGUAUGAAGAAGGCCUACGGGUUGUAAAGUACUUUCAGCGGGGAGGCGUUACCCGCAGAAGAAGCACCGGCUAACUCCGUGCCAGCAGCCGCGGUAAUAC